UACGGAGGGGGCUAGCGUUGUUCGGAAUUACUGGGCGUAAAGCGCACGUAGGCGGACGUGUAAGUCAGGGGUGAAAUCCCGAGGCUCAACCUCGGAACUGCCUUUGAUACUGCAAGUCUCGAGUCCGGAAGAGGUGAGUGGAAUUCCUAGUGUAGAGGUGAAAUUCGUAGAUAUUAGGAAGAACACCAGUGGCGAAGGCGGCUCACUGGCUCGAUACUGACGCUGAGGUGCGAAAGCGUGGGGAGCAAACAGG
rnacentral:rRNA from 1 species